CACAGGGAUUGCCUCAGUAACGGCGAGUGAAGCGGCAACAGCUCAAAUUUGAAAUCUGGCCUCACGGUCCGAGUUGUAAUUUGUAGAGGAUGCUUUUGGCGAGGUGCUUUCCGAGUUCCCUGGAACGGGACGCCAUAGAGGGUGAGAGCCCCGUACGGUAAGACCACCGAGCCUCUGUAAAGCUCCUUCGACGAGUCGAGUAGUUUGGGAAUGCUGCUCUAAAUGGGAGGUGUACGUCUUCUAAAGCUAAAUACCGGCCAGAGACCGAUAGCGCACAAGUAGAGUGAUCGAAAGAUGAAAAGCACUUUGAAAAGAGGGUUAAAAAGUACGUGAAAUUGUUGAAAGGGAAGCAUUCAUGACCAGACUUGGGCUUGGUUGAACAUCCGGCGUUCUCGCCGGUGCACUCUGCCAGUCCAGGCCAGCAUCAGUUUGCCCCGGGGGACAAAGGCGGUGGGAAUGUGGCUCCCUUCGGGGAGUGUUAUAGCCCGCCGUGUAAUGCCCUGGGGCGGACUGAGGAACGCGCUUCGGCACGGAUGCUGGCGUAAUGGUCAUCAAUGACCCGUCUUGAAACACGGACCAAGGAGUCGUCUUCGUAUGCGAGUGUUCGGGUGUCAAACCCCUACGCGUAAUGAAAGUGAACGUAGGUGAGAGCUUCGGCGCAUCACCGACCGAUCCUGAUGUUCUCGGAUGGAUUUGAGUAAGAGCAUACGGGGCCGGACCCGAAAGAAGGUGAACUAUGCCUGUAUAGGGUGAAGCCAGAGGAAACUCUGGUGGAGGCUCGCAGCGGUUCUGACGUGCAAAUCGAUCGUCAAAUAUGGGCAUGGGGGCGAAAGACUAAUCGA
rnacentral:rRNA from 1 species